rnacentral:rRNA from 1 species
GUGAGAAAUCACUGCUAAAACCGCAUAUGCCGUGAACAUCGCAUGAUGAAAACGGGAAAAGAGCAAUCUGCUAAUAGAUGGGCUUGCGUCUGAUUAGCUAGUUGGUGUGGUAAAGGCAUACCAAGGCAACGAUCAGUAGCCGGACUGAGAGGUUGAACGGCCACAUUGGGACUGAGAUACGGCCCAGACUCCUACGGGAGGCAGCAGUCGGGAAUAUUGCGCAAUGGAGGAAACUCUGACGCAGUGACGCCGCGUAUGGGAAGAAGGUUUUCGGAUUGUAAACCAUUUUAGACAAGGAAGAAACAAGACAGUACUUGUAGAAUAAGCUCCGGCUAACUACGUGCCAGCAGCCGCGGUAAUACGUAGGGAGCAAGCGUUAUCCGGAUUUAUUGGGUGUAAAGGGUGCGUAGACGGGAAGGUAAGUUAGUUGUGAAAUCCCUCGGCUCAACUGAGGAACUGCGACUAAAACUGCUUUUCUUGAGUGCUGGAGAGGAAAGUGGAAUUCCUAGUGUAGCGGUGAAAUGCGUAGAUAUUAGGAGGAACACCAGUGGCGAAGGCGACUUUCUGGACAGUAACUGACGUUGAGGCACGAAAGUGUGGGGAGCAAACAGGAUUAGAUACCCUGGUAGUCCACACCGUAAACGAUGGAUACUAGGUGUAGGGGAUAUUAAGUCUUCUGUGCCGUCGCAAACGCAGUAAGUAUCCC